CUUUCGAUUCUUCCAUACUCAGAGUACGCACGGUCUGAUUUUCUCUUUCGAUUCUUCCAAAAUCAGAGACAGACUGCUCCCGGUGCCAUGAACGGAGACGAUGCCUUUGCAAGGAGACCUAGGGCUGGUUCUCAAAUACCAGAGAAGAUCCAAAAGGCCUUCGAUGAUAUUGCCAAAUACUUCUCUAAGAAAGAGUGGGAAAAGAUGAAAUCCUCGGAGAAAAUCAUCUAUGUGUAUAUGAAGAGAAAGUAUGAGGCCAUGACUAAACUAGGUUUCAAGGCUACCCUCCCACCUUUCAUGUGUAAUACAGGGGCCACAGACCUCCAGGGGAAUGAUUUUGAUAAUGACCGUAACCACAGGAAUCAGGUUGAACGUUCUCAGAUGACUUUCGGCAGGCUCCAGGGAAUCUUCCCGAAGGUGAGUAUCUCUCAAAUCUAAAGGACCAGAGAACCUUUGUCCCUCCACAGAUGGGAACACUGGUAAGAGUGGGAGAAUAUAAAAAAUGCCCUCACUGCCUUCUUCUCCCCAUAUCUAUCACAACACCUGAUGUAGCACCAACAGCUUGAUAACACUAACAGUU